CGAGCGGUAGCACAGAGAGCUUGCUCUCGGGUGACGAGCGGCGGACGGGUGAGUAAUGUCUGGGAAACUGCCUGAUGGAGGGGGAUAACUACUGGAAACGGUAGCUAAUACCGCAUAACGUCGCAAGACCAAAGUGGGGGACCUUCGGGCCUCAUGCCAUCAGAUGUGCCCAGAUGGGAUUAGCUGGUAGGUGGGGUAACGGCUCACCUAGGCGACGAUCCCUAGCUGGUCUGAGAGGAUGACCAGCCACACUGGAACUGAGACACGGUCCAGACUCCUACGGGAGGCAGCAGUGGGGAAUAUUGCACAAUGGGCGCAAGCCUGAUGCAGCCAUGCCGCGUGUGUGAAGAAGGCCUUCGGGUUGUAAAGCACUUUCAGCGGGGAGGAAGGCGGUGAGGUUAAUAACCUCAUCGAUUGACGUUACCCGCAGAAGAAGCACCGGCUAACUCCGUGCCAGCAGCCGCGGUAAUACGGAGGGUGCAAGCGUUAAUCGGAAUUACUGGGCGUAAAGCGCACGCAGGCGGUCUGUCAAGUCGGAUGUGAAAUCCCCGGGCUCAACCUGGGAACUGCAUUCGAAACUGGCAGGCUAGAGUCUUGUAGAGGGGGGUAGAAUUCCAGGUGUAGCGGUGAAAUGCGUAGAGAUCUGGAGGAAUACCGGUGGCGAAGGCGGCCCCCUGGACAAAGACUGACGCUCAGGUGCGAAAGCGUGGGGAGCAAACAGGAUUAGAUACCCUGGUAGUCCACGCUGUAAACGAUGUCGAUUUGGAGGUUGUGCCCUUGAGGCGUGGCUUCCGGAGCUAACGCGUUAAAUCGACCGCCUGGGGAGUACGGCCGCAAGGUUAAAACUCAAAUGAAUUGACGGGGGCCCGCACAAGCGGUGGAGCAUGUGGUUUAAUUCGAUGCAACGCGAAGAACCUUACCUGGUCUUGACAUCCACAGAACUUUCCAGAGAUGGAUUGGUGCCUUCGGGAACUGUGAGACAGGUGCUGCAUGGCUGUCGUCAGCUCGUGUUGUGAAAUGUUGGGUUAAGUCCCGCAACGAGCGCAACCCUUAUCCUUUGUUGCCAGCGGUCCGGCCGGGAACUCAAAGGAGACUGCCAGUGAUAAACUGGAGGAAGGUGGGGAUGACGUCAAGUCAUCAUGGCCCUUACGACCAGGGCUACACACGUGCUACAAUGGCAUAUACAAAGAGAAGCGACCUCGCGAGAGCAAGCGGACCUCAUAAAGUAUGUCGUAGUCCGGAUUGGAGUCUGCAACUCGACUCCAUGAAGUCGGAAUCGCUAGUAAUCGUAGAUCAGAAUGCUACGGUGAAUACGUUCCCGGGCCUUGUACACACCGCCCGUCACACCAUGGGAGUGGGUUGCAAAAGAAGUAGGUAGCUUAACCUUCGG
rnacentral:rRNA from 1 species